AACACUUAUCUUUCCCAUACUCCAGUCACAUCUCACCUUUCUUGUCCUAAAACCCUUAAACCCUAAUCAAAUCCCCAAAAUUAACUCCCAAUUUCAGCCAUGGAAACACCAAAUCAAGCUCAUCUUGAAGAACAACAAUCAUCCUUACUUCCCAUUGACAUAAUCACUCAAAUUCUGCUGUAUCUCCCUCCAAAACCUCUUGCUCGCUUCAAAUCUGUCUCAAAUUGCUUCCUUUCUUUAAUCAACGAUCCAAAAUUCAUCCUCAGUAACAUCAACCUUUCUCUCUCCUCUUCCUCCAAUCUCUCUCUUGCUUCUCUUUCUCAACCAAAACCCCAUAAACAUCUCCAUAUCCUACACCUUAAUACACCAGAUUCCUCCACCCCACCUUCCAUUUCCAACCUUUCUCUUCCAUUUCACCCUAAACACCAUGAUUCUGACCUUAUUGGGUCCUGCAAUGGCAUUCUCUGCAUUUCUAAUUUCCCUGAUUUCCUGGGUCUUUUCAAUCCUACCACUAGAACUUUCCAGAAGAUUCCACUGGGUUCUUUUGGGGUCCAAGAGUUCAGGGAGUCUCAUUGGGUUGAUUUUGGGUUCGGGUUCGAUGAAAUUGGCAAUGAUUACAAGAUAGUAAGGGUGGAUCAGUUGCAUAGUGUCAAGCAAGAUGAGGGUUUUGCUCCUAGGGAAGUUCAGGUUUAUAGUUUGAAGGCAAAAUUGUGGAAGAAAGUUGAGAACUUUCCUCAUUUUCUCUCUCAUCCUAAGUCCCAUGGUAAUUUCCUCUGUAAUUCUUUGCAUUGGAUUGCUACUACUUCUGAUCCUGUUGUGUUUGAUUUAACUGGUGUGUUAUGGCGUGGGCAAUUGGAUGAUUUUGUUUAUGAUUAUGUAAUUGUUGCAUUUGAUCUUAAUUUAGAGAAUUUUAGGGUCUUACCUUUGCCUGAUUAUGAGGAAGGGAAGAAGUUGAAGGUCCCUCGUUUGUCUGCUGGGGUUUUAGGGGAAUGUUUGUUUGUACAGGUUGAACAUGGGGCCCGUUUUAAGCGUUGUGUUGAUGUUUGGGUGCAGAAGGAAUAUGGGGUGAAAGAUUCUUGGACUAAGCUGUUGAGUUUUCGACAUGAGGAGAUUCGGGGCGAGUUGUUGCCAGUUAAGACCUUGACGUUGUCGAAAGGGGGUGAUGAAGUUUUGAUGCAGCAAGGGAAGGAUUGUUUUUGGAUUGAAUUGAAAACUGGGAAAACUAGGGAUGUUCCAAUGGAUGGUGGUUUGCCUUUUAAGUUUGGGUUAGUUUGUGGGCAUAAGUAUACUUUUGGGGCAGUGACUUACGUGGAGAGCCUUGUCUGUCCUGGCUGCCGUGAUGGAUGCGUAGAGAGUGAGCAGGCUAGCAAUGGUGGUAAGCAAGAUGAUGGAGGUGCUGAAGCCAAAAACUGAGGAGUGGAUUGCAGCAGCCUUGAAUUAGUCUAUUCUAACCUUUGUGAAAGAAGCAACAGGCCAACAGCAACGAAAAGCCGGUGUGGUGUUCAACACGGUGCUGUUUGUUAUGUUUUUGCUGUGCAAUAUAAGUUUGUUCCUCAAUGGCAAUUGGAGGUCCUUGCGGUGCUAUCGAUGGUUUGUCAUUAGUUUGGACUUUGGAUGAUUAUCAGUUUUUAUGUAUGUGCGUUUUUGUUGCUUGAUAUUGGCCAACGAGAAUAGCACAGUUGAAAGACUGAUAAAUCAGAGGAAACUGAUGAGCCUGAAAAAGUGAUUGUAGAAGGUUAAUAAAUGUUUGAAGAAGUUUUGGUUGAUAAAGAUAACACGGAGAAACAUCCAGAGAAUACAAGGAAGAUAUGCAGGGUGCAAGCCCUCAGAAAGACUCAUCCAAGGAGGAAAGAUUGAUGAUACUGAACAGAAUCAGAAACGGGGUGGUGAGCAAGGCACAGCCAUGCACAGGAAAUCAAACUGCAGAAGAUAGCUCCAAUUAUGUUGAGAAGACUAGUGGUGAAGCAGAGGCAAGCAAACCAGAGAAAGUAAGAGUUAAAGGUCUGAGGAAAAAAAAACACUUCCGCCAAAAAAAGCAGCAGUGGGCCAAGAAUCACUUUAGGUGCCGUACCGGAACUUUCCUAUAGACGAGUCUCCUCGUAUUAGUUCCUCAUACAAAGUAUCUUGUUUGCUGAUGAUUCUUGCUCUUCCAUCAAAAUCGAGUUGGCUACCUCAGGGAGUAAGGACUGAGAUUUUCUUGUUCACUGCCUUGACUAAUUUCUCCCCCACCGGAAUUUCAAGGUUAGAAGAUGCCUAUGCUGGUGCAUAUAAUUAAGGAUCUUGUUGAGUUUAUGAUGAAAUGGUAAAAGGAACUUGUGCUGGUUGCUCUAUUGGAAAGCAAUACAAGACGAGAUGAAUGCAUAUGGUAUUAGAGAAGCUAGUGAGAAUGUCUCCUUACAUUCGUAUGGAAACUGAUCGCUGCUAUGAAGUAGGCUUCUCUGCAGCUGUACGGAUUAUACCACCCCAGCAUAUGCAUGUUCUUGCCCACAUCUGAUUGUAAUCCGCAUCAAGGCUUCGGAACACAAGUUUCCCUUGCUGCAUGACUCCGUUUACGAUUAAGGCACAAUUUACAUGAUGGCCGCCGGUCCCUCAACUAGCACCUGAGACCCCAUCAAUGUCCACUCUUCCAAUAUUGACACAAAGGUGCCAAGAAAGAAUGAUGUUGGCUUCACAGGUUCGGAGUUGGGUCUGUUUCAUCUCAAAUCAGGUUUUCGUACCCGCCCUUAAAGCUAUGAAGCCAUUGUAAUUUCCCUCAAGUAAUUCCAUAUUAUAUUUGUGUGCUUUGUUUUGGAUAGAUUUGUAUGCACGGGAUGUGUUUGUUAUAUUUCUAAAUUUUUAUACAUCAACCAUUUUAAUAGAGUACAUAAAAAUUAGCGGCAUUUUAGGUAGAUACCAUAGUCUUACUUGGAGGGAUGACAAUUUUAAUGUGGUGCUCUCUCUGUUAAUAAUUUUUUAUGAUUAUGUGAAUCAUCAUAGAAACUGGAAGUUGAUUUUCUAAGGAAAAUAUUUAAGAAAAAACCAAGAAAUUAAAUGAGUAGCUGAAGACUUGAAGUUGAGUUACAUGCAACUAUAGGUAGUUUUUUUUGAGGGGGGUGGGGGACACUUGUUCCUCGUACUCCUCUGUCUUAAAAUAAUAUAAUACGGAGUACUUCUUAUGUUUUCAUUUCCACAUCUCAAUUAAUUAACAAGAUUUACAUAUACUUAGCUACUUACCACUAUCAAUAAUCUCAUAAAAUUUCGCACUCAACAGAAAUGAGAAGUUUAUUUUGAGAUGAAAGGAGUAAUCUAGUUAUUACAAGCUCGUUUUGCACCAUGAUUUACUUCCUCCA